UAAAGGUCGCACGACUGGCGGAUCAGGGGGAUACCCCAAGGGAGUGCGAACUGAUGAUUGAUUGCCGACCGCCUGGGCGCUCCGU
rnacentral:ncRNA from 1 species